rnacentral:rRNA from 1 species
CAGCCGCCGCGGUAACACGGAGGGGGCUAGCGUUGUUCGGAAUUACUGGGCGUAAAGCGCACGUAGGCGGCUUUGUAAGUUAGAGGUGAAAGCCCGGAGCUCAACUCCGGAAUUGCCUUUAAGACUGCAGAGCUAGCAGGUGAGAGAGGUGAGUGGAAUUCCGAGUGUAGAGGUGAAAUUCGUAGAUAUUCGGAAGAACACCAGUGGCGAAGGCGGCUCACUGGCUCAUACUGGACGCUGAGGUGCGAAAGCGUGGGGAGCAAACAGGAUUAGAUACCCCCGUAGUCCCUGUCUCUUAUAC